UACAGAGGGUGCGAGCGUUAAUCGGAAUUACUGGGCGUAAAGCGUGCGUAGACGGUUAUUUAAGUCGGAUGUGAAAGCCCCGGGCUCAACCUGGGAAUUGCAUUCGAGACUGAAUAGCUAGGGUACGGUAGAGGGAAGCGGAAUUUCCGGUGUAGCGGUGAAAUGCGUAGAUAUCGAGAGGAACACCAGUGGCGAAGGCGAGUCUCUGGACAUUUCCUGACGCUGAGGCACGAAAGCCAGGGGAGCAAACGGG
rnacentral:rRNA from 1 species